rnacentral:rRNA from 1 species
GCGGCCUAUCAGCUUGUUGGCGGGGUAAAAGCCCACCAAGGCUAAGACGGGUAGCUGGUCUGAGAGGACGACCAGCCACACUGGAACUGAGACACGGUCCAGACACCUACGGGUGGCAGCAGUCGAGAAUUUUUCUCAAUGGGCGAAAGCCUGAAGGAGCGACGCCGCGUGGGGGAUGAAUGGCUUCGGCCCGUAAACCCCUGUCAUUUGCGAACAAAUUGCUUCACUUAACACGUGAAUCAUUGAUUGUAGCGGAAGAGGAAGGGACGGCUAACUCUGUGCCAGCAGCCGCGGUAAUACAGAGGUCCCAAGCGUUGUUCGGAUUCACUGGGCGUAAAGGGUGCGUAGGCGGUUGGGUAAGUCUGACGUGAAAUCUCCGGGCCUAACCCGGAAACUGCGUGGA